CCUUCCGUAUGGCGUACACUAACGACAGACCCCCCGGAAGUGGGGACACGGCUCUGUGACUCUGGAGCUGCUUCGAUAGUAAAGCAAGCGGGUAGACACCAUACGACAGGUUUCCAGUUAUUGAAAUGUCACUCUUGUGUAGCAGUUUGUGUCAAGAAAACUGAGCACGUACGUAGCUACCAGCCUCGCAUGGAAGCACGGGCAUGGUGGCUCUAUCCGAGCCUCUGAGAGCGAGCGCCCUGGGCGCUACGUUAGCAUCGGUUCUUGAGUCCCGAUCCCGGGCCCCGUGCACAUUUGGCUAGCCUUUCCUGCUAGCCGGUCCCAUUUGAUUAGCUGUGCGCCUGUCACCACGCCUCGGCUUCCUUCGCGGCCCGUGAUGACGAAGCUUGCCAAAGCAGUUCACAGUGAGCAAGAGACUGUUAGAAGGUGAAGAUCGGGUGUUCAGAACUCCUGCUGUAAAAACUGGAUUCUGAGUUUCCGCUGUUUUAGAACAGAACAGGGCAUCGGCCCUGGCCCUGCGAUCGCUUGCAGAGGAAGCUUUGACUUGGCCAUGGCUGCGAGCCUGCUAUCUUAUCCGCUGAGAAGCGUGCCUCACUUGUCUAAUGGUAUCAGUAUAAGCCAUCAAAAACACCAGGCUGCUGGGCAGAAUUUUUUUUAAGAAUCAAAAUGUAGGAAACCUUUUUAAGGCUAGAAGAAAACAUGACAAUUCUGUUUAAUUUUAGGGGUAAGUACACUCCUCUCCCUCAACAACCGACAAAACAUCCAAGUAGAAAAUAACUACCAGGUAUAAAGAUUGGCCUGGCUGCGUAUUUCUUCUCCGUUCUAGGGGCAGAGGGAUAAACAACACUAAGCGCUUUUUCAGUAGGCGUGGCACUGUUCCAGCCAGAAAGCAGCGCUGUCACUUCACAGCCAGAGGCAGGAGGAAAGGAAGCAGGCCAGCAGCUGAGCAGGAGGAAAGGAAGCAGGCCAGCAGCUGAGCCGUCACGUAGCAGGGAGGCCCCGGUUGCACAACCCAUGAGUUUGAUGGUCACCAUUUUUAUUUUUUUACCAUGAUUUCCAAUUUCUUAAUGAUUUCCAUUUUGACAUGACUCUUUCAUAACUAGACUAUGACCAGUCUAGUUCACACAUAUAUGCCUCUCGUGAGUCUCCCUCGUUGUGCCAGUGUCCUUAGCAAGCUCUCUCUCUGCCCCCCAGUCUCCUGCUUGCACACCCCAGACCCGGUGCACAGCUAUCAAAGGGGAACAGCAUGGGCACCCUAUUAAGGAGAUGUGUACUGUCAGCGCUUUGGUUGACUUUUCUAAUGACUCAUAAGAAAAUAAUGUGGAUAAAAUUACACGUUCAAAGUUCGAUUUUAUUUCAAAAUGAUAAAUAAACCGGCAUAGUUCUGACUCUGUACUAUUUCAGAAAGGCUUGUGAAGUUCAUUAACAGUUUAGAGAGGGCUCCAGUCAGACCAGAAGGUUGCCAAUCAAACUUGUGAUUGGCAGAGACAGCAGCCUCUUUGAUCUUCAGAGGUUUGUAAAAGCUCUCCACCCUAAUUUCUGUGUAUCAUAAAAAGUAAAAAGCACUUUUAUUCUGUCCUUUUCUCCUUUAAUUUUUCUUUUUUAAACCAGCAAAAAAGGACUACUUAUUUUUAUGACUUCAUUUUUAUGAGCACAACAGUUCUGUCAAUUACUUAGAGAAGGAAGCCCUCAAAGAUGUGCCAGUGGUGCUGUGGUCGUCCACCGAGGCCCACACUGACAGGUGCUUGCAUUCCAUGCUAUCAUUUCUACAAUGAGCCAUGAAGAAUGCUUGUAGACCCUAUGUACAGCAGUAUAGUCCACAUGUCCUUGAUGUGCGUCCAUACCACGAUCCAGGAACAACAGAGAGAAUCCCCUCUUGGAAAUCAAAAAGGGGAUGUGUAGGGAAAGAGGGCUAACUCCUCUGGUGAGCAGCACACUAUUUUUAGAGUGCUUUGAAAGAACUAAAAUCCAUGACGCUGUAGUCAUUGAAUUCUGGCCCUCAUAUUUUUCUUUUAAGUUGACUUUCUAUUAAAAUCUUCAAAUCUCUGGAGAUUGGUGGUAUAGUUAGACUAUAUUAAAAUUUUUCUUUUCCUUAUUAACAAUUUCAUUAAAAUUUAAAAAAUUACGAUGCCCCUCAACUGUUACGUUGAAGCCUGAUCUGUGUCACUGUGUCCUGUGCCAUGAACCUAAUUUCCCAAGUGGCCACGGACACCUGAGUGGCAUUUCCAGUGCUGCAGUUCCUUCCCUCAUGAUUCCUGCUGGGUCCUCUUCACUGAGGCUCUCCCCUGAGUCAUAUAUUUACUGGAAAGGCUACCUAGGAGGGAAAACAAAAUCCAACAUAAACGAAAAGAAUGGUGUUUGAGCAAAGUCACACAAUACUUAUUGUCAGUUACUGACAGACACGUGUCCCACCACAAAGGGCACUCGUCCUGAGUCGAGCAGUUAGGCUAGGUAUAAACAAGUGCACAGCCAUCAGAGGCACUGGGCAGUGCUUAGACACUGCUUCCUCAGUGCUGGUAAGGUACAGCCCCGAGGCUGUUCAAUGCAGCCACAGGCAGGCACUGAGGCUGGAAGAAACAUUUUGAAAGUUCUUUACAUAGGAUAUUCUUUUUGUUUGUAGCUCACAGACUGCAAAGAGAUCGCUGGCCAGAAAUUAGUACCUCAUACCAUUACCCUUUAGAAGUCUAGUAAUACCUUAUGGAUGUACAAGGAGAAAAUAAAAUUCUCUGUACUUAAUUAGUAGUGAAGCCAUCCACAGCUUACAACAUGUACUGUGUUCUGGAGUCUGAGCACAUACAAGAGGGAAUGAGAGCCCAUGUGGCUACUACUGUACAAUGAAGGCUCUACUCAAACCAAUGGAAGGAAUGCAAAGGGUUUAGUAACUGGUACCAUGCCAGCUACAGGUUUUAAAAGCAGAAUCUCAUUGUGAGGCCUUGGAUGACUUAAAAUUCAUUAUGUAGCCCAGGCUAGCCUAGAAUUGCUUUUUGCCUGCUUCUGAGUGUGGGGAUUAAAUACUACACCAUGACCACCACACCUGGCUUGCACCCAUAACUUCUGAGGGGGAGAAGGAAGCUAGCUCCCUUCUUAAACUGUCACUCUUGUCAUUUCCAAAUGAAGUGUAGAAUUAAAUGUAAG
ensembl:processed_transcript Etohd2 ethanol decreased 2